ACGUGGCUGGCUCAGUCAGUGAAGCAUGUGACUCUUGAUCUCAGGGUUGUGGGUUUGAGUCCCACGUUGAAUA
rnacentral:tRNA from 1 species